AGACAAUGGGCGCAAGCCUGAUCUAGCCAUGCCGCGUGAGUGAUGAAGGUCUUAGGAUCGUAAAGCUCUUUCGCUAGGGAUGAUAAUGACAGUACCUAGUAAAGAAGCCCCGGCUAACUCCGUGCCAGCAGCCGCGGUAAUACGGAGGGGGCUAGCGUUGUUCGGAAUUACUGGGCGUAAAGCGUACGUAGGCGGAUCAGAAAGUAUGGGGUGAAAUCCCAGGGCUUAACCCUGGAACUGCCUCAUAAACUCCUGGUCUUGAGUUCGAGAGAGGUGAGUGGAAUUCCAAGUGUAUAGGUGAAAUUCGUAGAUAUUUGGAGGAACACCACUGGCGAAAGCGGGUCACUGGCUCUAUACUGACCCUGAGGCACGAAAGUUGGGAGCCAACAGGAUUAGAUACCCCGGUAGUCACACCGGUAAACGAUGGCCCCCAGUCGUCGGGCAGUAUACUGUUCGGUGACACACCUAACGGAUUAAGCAUUCCGCCUGGGGAGUACGGUCGCAAGAUUAAAACUCAAAGGAAUUGACGGGGGCCCGCACAAGCGGU
rnacentral:rRNA from 1 species